rnacentral:rRNA from 1 species
AAAAUAAAAAUUAAUAAAUUUAAAUUUAAUAAAAAUAAUUUUAAUAUUAAAAUAAAUAAUGGGGGUUAAAGUAUUUUAAUAGAAAAAAUUAUAAAAUUUAUAGUAAAUUAGUAUAGUAAUAGAAAUUUGAAAUAGUUGAAAAUUAAUUUUUAAAAAAGUAAAUUUAAAUUAUUGUAUCUUGUGUAUCAGAGUUUAUUAAAUAAUAUUAUUAAAUAAAAAUAUCUCGAAUUUAAAAGAGUUAAUUAAUUAAUAAAGUUAAUGUAAAAUAAUUAUUUUAAAUAAUUAAUUUGAAAUGAAAUGUUAAUCGUUUUUAAAUAUAUCUAGUUAUUUUAGAAAAAAGUUUAAUUUUAAAUUUAUUUAUUAAAUAUAUUAAAUUAAUUAAUAUAAAAAAAAAUAAAUUUUAUAAUUUAAGGGAUAAGCUUUAAAUUAAAGAAUUAUAAUAAUAAUUUAAAUUAAAUAAAAUUUUUAAAAUUUAUAUUGUUUAAAAAUUAUAAUUUAUUAUAAAAAAUUUUAAUAAAAAUAAAAUUUAAAAUAAUUUAAUUUUUUAUAAAAAUAUAAUUUGUAAUAAAAAAAUAUUAGAAAAAAUGAUAAAAUUAGUAUAAAAAUAAAAAUAAAAUUAUAAAUUAAUGUAAAGUAAUUAAAAGGAAUUCGGCAAAAAUAUAUAUUCACCUGUUUAACAAAAACAUGUCUUUUUGAAAAAUAAUUUAAAGUCUAAUCUGCCCACUGAUUUUAUAUUAAAGGGCUGCAGUAUAUUGACUGUACAAAGGUAGCAUAAUCAUUAGUCUUUUAAUUGAAGACUUGUAUGAAGGAUUUGAUGAAAUAUAAACUGUCUCUUAUAUAUUAAUAGAAUUUAAUUUUUUAGUUAAAAAGCUAAAAUUUAUUUAAAAGACGAGAAGACCCUAUAGAGUUUUAUAAUUAUUUUUUAAUUAUUUAUUUAUAAAUAUAAAAAAUUUUUAUUAAAUAAUUAUUUUAUUGGGGUGAUAAAAAAAUUAAAAUAACUUUUUUUAAUAAAUUAACAAAUAUAAAUGAAUAAUUGAUCCAUAAAUUAUGAUUAAAAGAAAUAAUUACCUUAGGGAUAACAGCGUAAUUUUUUUUUUUAGUACAAAUAAAAAAAAAAGUUUGCGACCUCGAUGUUGGAUUAAGAUAAAAUUUAAAUGCAAAAGUUUAAAAUUUUGAUCUGUUCGAUCAUUAAAAUCUUACAUGAUCUGAGUUCAAACCGGUGUAAGCCAGGUUGGUUUCUAUCUUUAGAAAAUUAAAAUAUUUUAGUACGAAAGGAUCAAAUAUUUAAAAUAAUUUUAUUAAAUUAUGAAUAUUAUUAACUAAAAUAUA